ACCUAGUCACACAAGUUUGAUAAAGGGUAACCAGUCGAUACUAUUCUGGUUGAAAAAAAAAAAAAAGUUUAAUAGUAAUCAAUAUGAAAGAUGUCGGACAUUUUGCAGAUAAUCAAACACGAUAUUGAAGCAACCCAUCUUUAGCUGCAGUUGAUAAGAUGAAAACUACAUAGCUCAUUAGAUUAUACCAUUUUAAACAUGUCUUUACCGUAUAGAUAUUACGAAGUUAAAAAAAAGAGGCAUUUUUCUUAAAUUGAGGAAAGAAUUAAAUUUGUACGUUGAUAAACGCCAGUUUCGUCGAAGUGAAAUUGAACUUACUCAAGCCAAAACUAGGAACUAGUCUGCCUGACUUUAUGGUUCUACGUAUGCUUAUAUAAAUAAUACGAACUAGAAAUAUUUUCUUCAUCUAAUGACUAGUUUAUGAAUUGAUAUUGAAUGAAAUGGAAUAUUUUAUGCACACGCGGGAGGAUAUCAGUUCGGAACCAAAAUAUUCUGACUAAUACGAACACUUAGAUAGACAUUUAUCGAAGGAUCGAUUCAUGUACCAUACCAUUUUAAAUUGGCAACAGCAGUUUGUAGUAGCCUGAUAUCUAAAAGAUUAUAGCAGUUUAUGAUUUUAGCCUUAGAUCUAAGAUAAUUCGACUUGCCAAUUUAAUCACCGUUGCUAGCAUCCUACUAUAAAAUUAUGCGAGCAUGUCUAGUAUACGCACGCAAAGAUAAAUAUCUUCCAAAUCCUUGAAAUGGAAUCAGAUAUUCAAUUUUUCUGUAAAGUCCCAUUUUGGAAAAUGAACUUCUACUUUUACUUUUCCCUGAGAGGAGGAGCAUCUUAACAAGUGAAUAAUAAAUAGUUAGCUUUAAAAAAUAAGGAUGUGAUAAUCUUUUCAACUAUGUAAGUUUGAACAGGCUGACC